CGUCAAUCUAGGAGGCUUUGGCUUAAUUAAAGUGUCUGAGUUGCAUUCAGGAGAUGUAUAUUAGAAUUAUACAAGUCUU
rnacentral:tRNA from 1 species